CUUUGUUCUCUCUUUUAAUUAGCCGUUGAUUUUUUUCCCCCUUCUUGCGCAGCACGCCUAUUCGCAUGCGGAUGAUCACCCCCACCCACCCCUCCUCCACCCGCUCGCUCGCUUGCUCGCUCGGAUGAGGGGAAGGCAGGCAUGGCGGGCCGUAAUCACGGCUGCAAGUGGGGCGGAAAACACCUGUUCCAGAGAGAGCAGCAUGUGUCAUGGUCGGCCCGUCUCCAGUGAUAGAGAGCCGUCUGUGGAGAGGAGACGGCGGGCGGGAGCGAGGCGCGGAGAUAAAGCACCAGGUCACCAAGGACACACAGCAUAUUUUCAUUUGGAUGCAUGAAAAAU
ensembl:lncRNA